rnacentral:piRNA from 1 species
UGCCUCAGAGUGUAGCCAAACAAGAGC